AUGGGACGGGAGUCGAACAUUGUCACAGAGUCUUACAUUUGCCAGGAGUUUGAUCAGCGGUUGCUGGUUCUAUCAGGACACAGUACAGUAUCUGUCUGCUGUUCCAUGUCGCUGCUGGUUCUAUCAGGACACAGUACAGUAUCUGUCUGCUGUUCCAUGUCGCUGCUGGUUUUAUCAGGACACAGUACAAUAUCUGUCUGCUGUUCCAUGUCGCUGCUGGUUCUAUCAGGACACAGUACAGUAUCUGUCUGCUGUUCCAUGUCGCUGCUGGUUCUAUCAGGACACAGUACAGGAUCUGUCUGCUAUUCCAUGUCGCUGCUGGUUCCAUCAGGACACAGUACAGUAUCUGUCUGCUGUUCCAUGUCGCUGCUGGUUCUAUCAGGACACAGUACAGGAUCUGUCUGCUAUUCCAUGUCGCUGCUGGUUCCAUCAGGACACAGUACAGUAUCUGUCUGCUGUUCCAUGUCGCUGCUGGUUCUAUCAGGACACAGUACAGUAUCUGUCUGCUGUUCCAUGUCGCUGCUGGUUCCAUCAGGACACAGUACAGUAUCUGUCUGCUGUUCCAUGUCGCUGCUGGUUCCAUCAGGACACAGUACAGUAUCUGUCUGCUGUUCCAUGUCGCUGCUGGUUCCAUCAGGACACAGUACAGUAUCUGUCUGCUGUUCCAUGUCGCUGCUGGUUCUAUCAGGACACAGUACAGUAUCUGUCUGCUAUUCCAUGUCGUUGCUGGUUCUAUCUGUCUGCUAUUCCAUGUCGCUUCUGGUUCUAUCAGGACACAGUACAGUAUCUGUCUGCUGUUCCAUGUUGCUGCUGGUUCUGUCAGGACACAGUACAGUAUCUGUCUGCUGUUCCAUGUCGCUGCUGGUUCCAUCAGGACACAGUACAGAAUCUGUCUGCUGUUCCAUGUCGCUGCUGGUUCCAUCAGGACACAGUACAGAAUCUGUCUGCUGUUCCAUGUUGCUGCUGGUUCUGUCAGGACACAGUACAGUAUCUGUCUGCUGUUCCAUGUCGCUGCUGGUUCCAUCAGGACACAGUACAGUAUCUGUCUGCUGUUCCAUGUCACUGCUGGUUCUGUCAGGACACAGUACAGUAUCUGUCUGCUGUUCCAUGUUGCUGCUGGUUCCAUCAGGACACAGUACAGUAUCUGUCUGCUGUUCCAUGUCGCUGCUGGUUCCAUCAGGACACAGUACAGUAUCUGUCCGCUGUUCAAUUUCACUGCUGGUUCUAUAA
rnacentral:lncRNA from 1 species